UAACCUGCCCUUGACUCUGGGAUAAGCGUUGGAAACGACGUCUAAUACCGGAUAUGACUCCUGGCCGCAUGGUCUGGGGGUGGAAAGAUUUUUUGGUCAAGGAUGGACUCGCGGCCUAUCAGGUAGUUGGUGAGGUAAUGGCUCACCAAGCCGACGACGGGUAGCCGGCCUGAGAGGGUGACCGGCCACACUGGGACUGAGACACGGCCCAGACUCCUACGGGAGGCAGCAGUGGGGAAUAUUGCACAAUGGGCGAAAGCCUGAUGCAGCAACGCCGCGUGAGGGAUGACGGCCUUCGGGUUGUAAACCUCUUUUAGUAGGGAAGAAGGGAGCUUGCUCUUGACGGUACCUGCAGAAAAAGCACCGGCUAACUACGUGCCAGCAGCCGCGGUAAUACGUAGGGUGCAAGCGUUGUCCGGAAUUAUUGGGCGUAAAGAGCUCGUAGGCGGUUUGUCGCGUCUGCUGUGAAAUCUGGGGGCUCAACCCCCAGCCUGCAGUGGGUACGGGCAGACUAGAGUGCGGUAGGGGAGAUUGGAAUUCCUGGUGUAGCGGUGGAAUGCGCAGAUAUCAGGAGGAACACCGAUGGCGAAGGCAGAUCUCUGGGCCGUAACUGACGCUGAGGAGCGAAAGCAUGGGGAGCGAACAGGAUUAGAUACCCUGGUAGUCCAUGCCGUAAACGUUGGGAACUAGAUGUAGGGGCCAUUCCACGGUUUCUGUGUCGCAGCUAACGCAUUAAGUUCCCCGCCUGGGGAGUACGGCCGC
rnacentral:rRNA from 1 species